UGGGGUGUAGCCCAGUGGGGAGAGUGCUGGAUUAGGAUGCAAGAAGCCCUGGGUGUAAUUCCCAGCACUGCAA
rnacentral:tRNA from 1 species